rnacentral:rRNA from 1 species
UACGAAGGGGGCUAGCGUUGUUCGGAAUGACUGGGCGUAAAGGGUGCGUAGGCGGUUUGAUAAGUUUGAUGUGAAAGUCCUGGGCUUAACCUGGGGAUUGCAUUGGAUACUGUUAGACUAGAGUCCGAGAGAGGAAAAUGGAAUUGCGAGUGUAGAGGUGAAAUUCGUAGAUAUUCGCAAGAACACCGGUGGCGAAGGCGGUUUUCUGGCUCGGAACUGACGCUAAGGCACGAAAGCGUGGGGAGCAAACAGG